rnacentral:rRNA from 1 species
UACAGAGGGGGCAAGCGUUGUUCGGAAUUACUGGGCGUAAAGGGCGCGUAGGCGGCCUCUGCAAGUCGACUGUGAAAUCUCCGGGCUUAACCCGGAACGGUCAGCCGAUACUGCAGGGCUAGAGUGCAGAAGGGGCAACUGGAAUUCUCGGUGUAGCGGUGAAAUGCGUAGAUAUCGAGAGGAACACCUGCGGCGAAGGCGGGUUGCUGGGCUGACACUGACGCUGAGGCGCGAAAGCUAGGGGAGCGAACGGG